UACGGAGGAUGCAAGCGUUAUCCGGAUUUAUUGGGUUUAAAGGGUGCGUAGGCGGGAAAAUAAGUCAGUGGUGAAAUCCUACAGCUUAACUGUAGAAUUGCCGUUGAUACUGUUUUUCUUGAGUAUGGUCAAGGAAGGCGGAAUGUGUAAUGUAGCGGUGAAAUGCUUAGAGAUCACACAGAAUAUCGAUUGCGAAGGCAGCUCACAAAGCCAAGAUUGACGCUGAGGCACGAAAGUGUGGGGAUCAAACAGGAUUAGA
rnacentral:rRNA from 1 species